rnacentral:rRNA from 1 species
GGGGGGGGGGGGCGGGGGGGGUAGGGCAUGCGGGGCGGGCGGAGAGGCCCGGCUUUUGUGGGGUGCUCGAGUGGCGAACGGGGGAGUAACACGUGAGUAACCUGCCCUUGACUUUGGGAUAACUUCAGGAAACUGGGGCUAAUACCGGAUAGGAGCUCCUGCUGCAUGGUGGGGGUUGGAAAGUUUCGGCGGUUGGGGAUGGACUCGCGGCUUAUCAGCUUGUUGGUGGGGUAGUGGCUUACCAAGGCUUUGACGGGUAGCCGGCCUGAGAGGGUGACCGGCCACAUUGGGACUGAGAUACGGCCCAGACUCCUACGGGAGGCAGCAGUGGGGAAUAUUGCACAAUGGGCGGAAGCCUGAUGCAGCAACGCCGCGUGCGGGAUGACGGCCUUCGGGUUGUAAACCGCUUUCGCCUGUGACGAAGCGUGAGUGACGGUAAUGGGUAAAGAAGCACCGGCUAACUACAUG